GACGAACGCUGGCGGCGUGCUUAACACAUGCCAGUCGAACGGAAAGGCCCUGCUUUUGUGGGGUGCUCGAGUGGCGAACGGGUGAGUAACACGUGAGUAACCUGCCCUUGACUUUGGGAUAACUUCAGGAAACUGGGGCUAAUACCGGAUAGGAGCUCCUGCUGCAUGGUGGGGGUUGGAAAGUUUCGGCGGUUGGGGAUGGACUCGCGGCUUAUCAGCUUGUUGGUGGGGUAGUGGCUUACCAAGGCCUUGACGGGUAGCCGGCCUGAGAGGGUGACCGGCCACAUUGGGACUGAGAUGCGGCCCAGACUCCUACGGGAGGCAGCAGUGGGGAAUAUUGCACAAUGGGCGGAAGCCUGAUGCAGCAACGCCGCGUGCGGGAUGACGGCCUUCGGGUUGUAAACCGCUUUCGCCUGUGACGAAGCGUGAGUGACGGUAAUGGGUAAAGAAGCACCGGCUAACUACGUG
rnacentral:rRNA from 1 species